rnacentral:tRNA from 1 species
GCAGUGAUGGUUCAGCGGUAGAAUUCUCACCUUCCACGUGGAAGACCCAGGUUCAAGUCCCAGUCAAUGCA